UACGUAGGGGGCUAGCGUUGUCCGGAAUCAUUGGGCGUAAAGCGCGUGUAGGCGGUUCGGUAAGUCCGCUGUGAAAGUCGGGGGCUCAACCCUCGGAUGCCGGUGGAUACUGUCGGACUAGAGUACGGAAGAGGCGAGUGGAAUUCCUGGUGUAGCGGUGAAAUGCGCAGAUAUCAGGAGGAACACCGAUUGCGAAGGCAGCUCGCUGGGACGUUACUGACGCUGAGACGCGAAAAGCGUGGGGAGCAAACAGG
rnacentral:rRNA from 1 species